rnacentral:rRNA from 1 species
GACGAACGCUGGCGGCGUGCUUAACACAUGCAAGUCGAACGGUAAGGCCCUUCGGGGUACACGAGUGGCGAACGGGUGAGUAACACGUGGGUGAUCUGCCCUGCACUUCGGGAUAAGCCUGGGAAACUGGGUCUAAUACCGGAUAGGACCACUGCCUGCAUGGGUGGUGGUGGAAGGCUUUUGCGGUGUGGGAUGGGCCCGCGGCCUAUCAGCUUGUUGGUGGGGUGAUGGCCUACCAAGGCGACGACGGGUAGCCGGCCUGAGAGGGUGACCGGCCACACUGGGACUGAGAUACGGCCCAGAUUCCUACGGGAGGCAGCAGUGGGGAAUAUUGCACAAUGGGCGCAAGCCUGAUGCAGCGACGCCGCGUGAGGGAUGACGGCCUUCGGGUUGUAAACCUCUUUCAGUAGGGACGAAGCGCAAGUGACGGUACCUACAGAAGAAGGACCGGCCAACUACGUGCCAGCAGCCGCGGUAA